AUUGAACGCUGGCGGCAUGCCUUACACAUGCAAGUCGCACGGUAGAGGGGCAACCCUCGAGCGUGGCGAACGGGCGCGUAAUGCAUCGGCACGUGCCUAGUCGUGGGGGAUCACGUAGCGAAAGCUACGCCAAUCCCGCAGACGACCCGAGGGUGACAGCGGGGGACUCGCAAGGGCCUCGCGCGAUUGGAGCGGCCGAUGUCGGACUAGGUAGUUGGUGGGGUAAAGGCCUACCAAGCCGACGAUCUGUAGCUGGUCUGAGAGGCCGACCAGCCACACUGGGACUGAGACACGGCCCAGACUCCUACGGGAGGCAGCAGUGGGGAAUUUUGGACAAUGGGCGCAAGCCUGAUCCAGCCAUGCCGCGCGCGGGAAGAAGGCCUUCGGGUUGUAAACCGCUUUUGUCAGGGAAGAAAUCUUCUGAGUUAAUACCUCGGGAGGAUGACGGUACCUGGAGAAUAAGCACCGGCUAACUACGUGCCAGCAGCCGCGGUAA
rnacentral:rRNA from 1 species